rnacentral:rRNA from 1 species
UACGGAGGAUGCGAGCGUUAUCCGGAUUUAUUGGGUUUAAAGGGUGCGUAGGCGGAGUGUCAAGUCAGCGGUAAAAUUUCGGGGCUCAACCCCGUCGUGCCGUUGAAACUGACACCCUUGAGUGAGUGAGAAGUAAGCGGAAUGCGUGGUGUAGCGGUGAAAUGCUUAGAUAUCACGAAGAACUCCGAUUGCGAAGGCAGCUCACUGGACUGCAACUGACACUGAGGCUCGAAAGUGUGGGUAUCAAACAGG